rnacentral:rRNA from 1 species
GUAACACGUAAAGAACCUGCCCUCAGGUCUGGGAUAACCACGAGAAAUCGGGGCUAAUACCGGAUGGGUCAUCGGACCGCAUGUCCGAGGAUGAAAGGCGCUUCGGCGUCGCCUGGGGAUGGCUUUGCGGUGCAUUAGCUAGUUGGUGGGGUAAUGGCCCACCAAGGCGACGAUGCAUAGCCGACCUGAGAGGGUGAUCGGCCACACUGGGACUGAGACACGGCCCAGACUCCUACGGGAGGCAGCAGUAGGGAAUCUCCCACAAUGGACGAAAGUCUGAUGGAGCAACGCCGCGUGAACGAUGAAGGCCUUCGGGUCGUAAAGUUCUGUUGUAAGGGAAGAACAAGUGCCGCAGGCAAUGGCGGCACCUUGACGGUACCUUGCGAGAAAGCCACGGCUAACUACGUGCCAGCAGCCGCGGUAAUACGUAGGUGGCAAGCGUUGUCCGGAAUUAUUGGGCGUAAAGCGCGCGCAGGCGGCCUCUUAAGUCUGAUGUGAAAGCCCCCGGCUCAACCGGGGAGGGCCAUUGGAAACUGGGAGGCUUGAGUAUAGGAGAGAAGAGUGGAAUUCCACGUGUAGCGGUGAAAUGCGUAGAGAUGUGGAGGAACACCAGUGGCGAAGGCGACUCUUUGGCCUAUAACUGACGCUGAGGCG